ACGGAAGGCAGCAGUGGGGAAUAUUGGGCAAUGGGCGCAAGCCUGACCCAGCAACGCCGCGUGAAGGAUGAAGGUCUUCGGAUUGUAAACUUCUUUAAUUGGGGAAGAAAAAAAUGACCUACCCAAAGAAUAAGCCACGGCUAACUACGUGCCAGCAGCCGCGGUAAUACGUAGGUGGCAAGCGUUAUCCGGAUUUACUGGGUGUAAAGGGCGUGUAGGCGGCUCUGCAAGUCAGAAGUGAAAUUCCUGGGCUCAACCCGGGCGCUGCUUCGGAAACUGCAGAACUUGAGUACUGGAGGGGAAAGCGGAAUUCCUAGUGUAGCGGUAAAAUGCGCAGAUAUUAGGAGGAACACCGGUGGCGAAGGCGGCUUUCUGGACAGUAACUGACGCUGAGGCGCGAAAGCGUGGGGAGCAAACAGGAUUAGAUACCCUGGUA
rnacentral:rRNA from 1 species